rnacentral:rRNA from 1 species
AUGGCGCACUUGACAAACUGCACACGCCUCCGUUACGUUGAUCUUCAGGGCAACAUGCUCGGUGGCGUGUUGCCGAGCUCUGUUUCCAAUCUAUCAGCACAUCUAGAAAUCCUUUACGUUGGAUUCAAUGAGAUUACUUGAACAAUACCACAUGACAUUACUGAACUUGUUGGGUUAAGUCUGUUGCAGCUCUCUAAUAACCAUUUUACCGGUGAAUUGCCUGGCAGCAUUGGACGCCUAAAUCUGCUAGAGGCCUUAGGGUUUGAAAAUAACCGACUGAAAGGGUCCCUGCCAUUUUCCCUUGGGAACUUGACGUGGCUAGCAAGUCUUUACGCAGAGGGCGACAACUUUGAGGGGCGUCUUCCAACAAGCCUAGGGAGCCUCCAGGAGAUUACUACAGGCAAUUUUUCAAACAAUAUGUUCACAGGUCCAUUGCCUAAAGAGAUCUUUUACCUAUCUUCCCUGACAAACGCCCUGGAUUUGUUAGAUAAUUAUUUUGUUGGUACACUUCCACCAGAAGUUGGCCUCCUCACAAAAGUUGCAUACAUGUACAUCUCCAACAAUAACCUGUCAGGGCCCCUGCCCGAUGCACUGAGCAGUUGCCAAAGCUUGAUACACCUCCGGUUGGACCAUAACUCCAUCAAUAGUAGCAUUCCUGCUUCUGUGAGCAAAAUGCAAGGCUUGAUAUUGCUAAACCUUACCAAAAACACACUCUAUGGUAUGAUUCCUCGAGAGCUAGGACUCAUGGAUGGCAUUCAAGAAUUGCAUCUCGCACACAACAACCUGUCUGGUCAUAUCACUGAAAGCUUUGGGAACAUGACAUCGUUGUACCGGUUUGACCUGUCUUUCAACCGGCUUGACGACAGAGUUCCAUCACAGGGUGUGUUCAGUAACGUGACGAGGUUUUCCUUUGAAGGGAACUCGGCCCUCUGUGGUGGCGUCUCAGAAUUAUAUUUGCCCCUAUGCCCGCCGGAAUCCAUGGAACAUGGUCUAAGGAAACGUCAUUUUCUGAUGAAAGUAGUUAUUCCAAUUGUUGCUGGCAUCAUUAUAUGCUCGAGUUUGAUUCUUGUUUUCUUCACAAUAAGAAAGAAACCAAAAGCACAAUCUGCAACCACGAGGGGAUUCCAAUUGGCAGAUGACAAUUAUCCUAGAGUUUCUUAUGCUGAAUUGUUCCAAGGAACAAAUUGCUUUGCCACAGACAAUUUGAUUGGUAGAGGAAGGUAUGAUUCUGUGUAUAAGUGCGGUUUGCUACUAAAGAAUAUGAUGUCCACAGUUGCUAUGAAGGUUUUUGAUCUUCAACAAUCUGGCUCCUCCAGAAGCUUUCUAGCUGAGUGUGAGGCACUUCGCAAGAUAUGCCAUCAUAAUUUGAUCAGUGUCAUCACUUGCUGCUCAAGCUUAGACUCAAACCAAAACGACUUCAAAGCCAUUGUGUUUGAGUUCAUGCCUAAUGGGAGCCUAGAUAAGUGGCUGCAUCCAGAUGUACCUACAUCGCAACAACUGCAAGGCUUGACAAUGGUGCAGAGGUUAAAUAUUGCCGUUGAUGUUGCUGAUGCACUAGAUUACUUGCACAACUGCGAACCUCCAGUUGUUCACUGUGAUUUGAAGCCAAGCAACAUUCUUUUUGAUACGUAUUUAGUUGCUCACAUUGGGGACUUUGGCCUUGCAAAGAUUCUUUCGGAUCCAGAAGGGGAGAGACCAAUCAAUUCAAAGAGCUCUAUCGAAAUAAGAGGAACAAUUGGAUAUCUUGCUCUAGAAUAUGGCGAAGGUAGUCAAGUUUCUCCAUCUGGAGAUGUAUACAGCUUUGGAAGUGUCAUCCUUGAGUUGUUUACAGGCAUGGAGCCAACUCAUGACAUGUUCAGAGACGGGUUGACCUUGCAAAAACAUGCCGAGAAUGCAUUUCCAGAUAAGCUAAUGGAGAUUGUUGAUCCUGUCUUACCAUCCAUUGAAGAAAAAUAUGGGAGUAGUUUGCAGAAUCAAAGCAACAGAAUGGAGGAUAUCUGCAACACCAUAUUCUCUAUCAUAGAAGUUGCGCUAUCGUGCUGCAAGCAAGCACCAACAGAGAGGAUGUGCACGAGAGAUGCAGCAGCUGGGAUGCGCAAGAUAAGGGAUAGCCAUGUUAGAAAGAGUACAAGAUGA